rnacentral:rRNA from 1 species
GGGGCCGCACAAGCGGUGGAGCAUGUGGUUAAUUCGAGGCUACACGAAGAACUUACAGGGUUUGACAUGCAAGUGGUAGGAAUCCGAAAGGUGACCGACCUUCGGGAGCUUGCACAGGUGCUGCAUGGCUGUCGUCAGCUCGUGUCGUGAGAUGUUCGGUUAAGUCCGCUAACGAGCGCAACCCUCGUCGUGUGUUAUACGUGUCACACGAUACUGCCGGUAUCAAGCCGGAGGAAGGUGGGGAUGAUGUCAAGUCAGCAUGGCCUUUAUAUCCUGGGCUACACACACGCUACAAUGGCAGAUACAAUAGGUUGCGAAACCGCGAGGUGGAGCCAAUCCUCAAAGUCUGUCUCAGUUCAGAUUGUAGGCUGCAACUCGCCUGCAUGAAGUUGGAGUUGCUAGUAAACGCAGGUCAGCUAUACUGCGUUGAAUACGUUCCCGGGGUUU